GAUGAACGCUCGCUACAGGCUUAACACAUGCAAGUCGAGGGGCAGCAUGGUCUUAGCUUGCUAAGGCCGAUGGCGACCGGCGCACGGGUGAGUAACACGUAUCCAACCUGCCGUCUACUCUUGGACAGCCUUCUGAAAGGAAGAUUAAUACAAGAUGGCAUCAUGAGUUCACAUGUUCACAUGAUUAAAGGUAUUCCGGUAGACGAUGGGGAUGCGUUCCAUUAGAUAGUAGGCGGGGUAACGGCCCACCUAGUCUUCGAUGGAUAGGGGUUCUGAGAGGAAGGUCCCCCACAUUGGAACUGAGACAUGGUCCAAACUCCUACGGGAGGCAGCAGUGAGGAAUAUUGGUCAAUGGGCGAGAGCCUGAACCAGCCAAGUAGCGUGAAGGAUGACUGCCCUAUGGGUUGUAAACUUCUUUUAUAAAGGAAUAAAGUCGGGUAUGUAUACCCGUUUGCAUGUACUUUAUGAAUAAGGAUCGGCUAACUCCGUG
rnacentral:rRNA from 1 species